AUGGAGUCUCCAGCAUUCAUGGGGUUGCUGUGGUGCCGUCGACCCAGCAGCCUCCUCCCCUCCAACCAAGGCCACAGGGCUCUUCUCCCUCCUUGUUUUCAACCCAUGAUGGCCUCCUCCUCCUCCUUCUCUUCCCUCUUCCUGCACCAUUUGGUCAACCCCUUCCUCUGCUGCCCAAACUCCCUCCCUGACCUUGCUUUGUCCCCAGCAUCUACGGCAGCCCCGCAGAAACCUUCAGGACUGUCGGAGCCCUGGCCUGGGGGUGUGAGUGAGGAGCACCUCUCCAAUUCGCUCCAGACCAGACCAUCCUCCUAUAGAAAGCAGGCUAUCAUCCCAGAGCCCCUCAUCUCUGGAGUCCUUGCUGAAGGACAGGACACCCCCCAACCCAAUUCAGGAGGCACACACCUGGCCCUCCCCACAGCAGCUCCAGCCCAGCGAAGACAUCGCCUUCAGAGGGCUCCAGGGAACGAGGUCCUGACCAGGGGGUAUGAGCCAGCCUCCAGAGAGGCGUUCCUACAAAUGCAAACCCCCUCCUGAGAUGGAUGAAGGGUGCAGAAGGCUGAUUGUCUGUGACAUUCCACGGUGACAGGUCAGCAUCAUCCCAAGGAUCCCGUGGAGACUAUACUCAGAAUGCCUGAAACAGAGCAGAACCCAUGGUGGGGACCUAUCUGUGCCAGGGACAUGGGGAAAGGAGGGAACAGAAUAUCUCCUCUCCCCGGAAUCCUGAGGGAUAUCAGGACCCUCUCAGAUUCGCGGGGCAUGAGAAGAAGGGCCUGUUUGCCCAAUGGGAGCAGCCUGACAGCCUUAUCUGCUUUACCAGAGAUGAUCCCCACCUGGGCCUGACCUGAUCUGGUGGCCGGUCCCCACAUGAGCAUCACCUAGACCUGGUGACCGUGGUCCCCAUCUGGGCUCAUUGGCUACCAAUCACCAGGAGCCAAGAUGGACCCUCACUUCUACUGAUGCCCUGGUCCGUCCCCAGGGCCUCACAUAUUCCUAGUGACUAUGGUCCUUGUCUGGGCUGACCAGGCUCAUCCUUGGCUCUGAUCCCCUCCUGGGCCUCACCUGGUUCUGAUGCCCCCGGCCAGCUGUCCCCAGGCCUGAUGGGGGCAUCAGGCUCUGCUCCUCUGAUUUUCAUCUCUGCUUGGGCCCUCACUUCUCAGCUUAGAUUCAGAUCCCUGAUUGGGUCUCACCUCCAUUGGCUAGCUAUGCAUCUGGACAUCUGGAGCACCUGAGGACUUGAUCCCCACCUGGCCUUACCUGCUCCUACUGGCAACAACACCCACUUGGUUCUCAUUGCCUGGACUCUGCUAUGAUCCUCACCUGGUACAUAAUGGUGUUACUGCUUAUGAUACCAUUUGGGCCAUACCAGCUGCCAUAUACCUAAGUAUACAACCACCUGUGCCUCAUGGGGACCUGGUGACUGUGAUCCCCACCUGGGUUCAUCGGCUACUGGUGUCUAAGAUCCAGGAUGGACCCUCACUUGCUCCUGAUGCCCGGGUCCAUCCCCAGCAUCUCAUUUGUUCCUGGUGACUGUGGUCCUUGUCUGGACUGACCUGUCAUGCUUGCCGCUGAUCCAUUCCUGGGAUUCACCUGCCCUUGCAGGAGGGGUCCCCACCUCAAGUGGGUUCUCUAGCAUUUAUGGUACUUGUCUGGGCCUCAGGUGAUGGUGAUCGGCUAUGAUACCAGCCCUUUCCAAGGCUAGCAGGGUCUCUAGGUCCUCUUGCCUGGUGCUACAAACCAAACAUAUCCAAGGAUGACACCGCAUGAAAACCUUCAGAGCACGCAUGUGUCUGUGUGCUCCCUGCGGGCAGGUCGCCAUCUGUCUGACCGGAGUGUGGAGACAACACCAUAGCUCCCAGGGGGACAUGCUGGGCUAGAGGAUCACCACGGGCACUGACUGUCUAUAGCUCGCCCACCUACAGUCCACCUUCCCAGCCAGUGUCCUAGGACAUGCCGUCAUGCUCAGAGGACAGAGCUCUCCCAACCCCUUACUAGGAGCACAAGGGAGCCCAGGAGGCUAGGGGAACUGCUGACCUGAUGCUUGGGGUGACGUCUCCCAACUCAGGGCUGGUGCCCAGAUGGUGGUGGAUGGGCCUUCCAGUGAGUGUUCCUGUGGCCUUGGGGCACACUGAAGGUUUUUGUUAGAUUCGACAAGCACAAUGACCAAAGGGAAAAAGGAAUGAACUGGACUUCAUAAAAAUUAACAACUUAUGCCAGCAAAAGUGUGAACAAACUACACACCCUGUAUACAGUGUUUUGUGAAUAGCCUGAGGGAGGAUCGGGGUGGGGGGGGACGAGGGCCUCCAUGUUCUAGUUUUUAUUUUUUUUAAAGAUUUUAUUUAUCAUGAGAGACACACCAGAGAGGCAGAGACACAGGCAGAGGGAGAAGCAGGCUCCAUGCAGGGAGCCCGAUGUGGGACUCGAUCCCGGGUGUCCAGGAUCACACCCUGGACUGAAGGUCGUGCUAAACCACUGGGCCACCGGGGCUGCCCCCAUGUUCUAGUAUGUGAAGAGCAAGCCUGCUCAUAGACCAGAAGGACCCAGAGAGCCCAGAUCGUCCACCCCGGACCACAGGGUGGGGGAUUGGUCAUCACAUGUCAGGGUCAUGUACCUAGGACAGGCUGAAAAGGUCAUGGCUUGAGUCUCCCCUGCACAGAAGAGGGCUCACAGUGGAGUAGGGGUCUCGGAUGAGCUGCCCUAGCCCUGACGGAAGCCUCCUUCCCUGGCCUGGGGCAGCAGGGAGACAGCUCUGACCCCAUGGAGCGGUGGAACAGCUCCAGGAGCUGCCUCAUUGGCAUCACACGGGGGUCAGUGCAUUCUCACCCCAACCCAGGAUGCCAGCACCCCUACUGGGACCCUCAGGUGCCACAGUGAACAGAGGUGUGCAGGGUGAAACUCUACUCACCUGUGACCUGUCGCUGUGUGAGUACCUACACUUUAUACACUGGGGUACUGGGGAGAGUGGGAUAGUUCGGGCACUGUGAGCCAGAUCCAGAGCACGAGUGCCUCCCACUGCCUGAGAAUGCAGAGUAGCGCCAGGCAGCAGUGGAACCCUGGGGCGGCACAGUUCCGCCCACAAUGGGGUCCCGUGUCAUCACUGUAGGUCGGGGGGCCAGUCAGCACUAAGCCCGGCACCCUGAAGGCCAAGGGUGCGUGGGGAGGUCCUGUCUCACGCCGGAUGGGAAGGGGUUGCAGGCACCCUCCCACAUCCUUAGUUCCCACCUUCAGGCCCUCCAGGCCUCCCACCCUUCUAGGUAGACUGGGUGUCCCAGCCGUCCUCCCACCCCCAAGGGUUCACAGCAUGGAUUUUGCACUUAAGAACAUUUGAGGGGCUCCUGGGUGGUUCAGUCAGCUAAACAUCUACUCUUGAUUAUGGCUCAGUUCAGGAACUGAGGUUGUGGUGUGGAGCCUCAGGUGGGGCUCGGCCCCGGCAGCAGGGGGAAUCUGCUUCAGAGUCUCCCUUACCCUCUGCCCCUCUCACUGCAUGCUCUCUCAAAUCUUUUAAAAAUCAACAUUGAAGACAUUUGAGAAAUCUUUAUCAUCUCUGCAGAGGUGCUUUCAUAUGUAUAAUGGCUGUGUAAAUGCUUUUUUUUUAAUUUUCAUUUCUCUGGAAUAAAUUCCCAGGAGUGCUAUUGCUGAAUUAUGUGUUAAUUGUAUGCAAAACUUUUUUUGGACAAAACUGCUAAACUCUUUCCCAGGAGUGAAUGUAAGAUUCUAGAAAAACUGUGUGGAAACUGUUUUUUCCAAGCAGUUGUCUAGAUACUAGAAGUGUGCCUGCCAGAACUUCAGGUGAGAUUUAUUUAGCCUUGGAAAAAGUUGUUAAACUAUCUUCCAAAGCAACCAUAUUUUUAUCCGCAGCAUGAAGGAGCUUUCCUGUCAUAUGCCACCCUCCAGCAACUAGUAUCCUCAUUUUGAGAGGUUUAACAUUUCUAGGGGCGCCUGGGUGGCUCAGCUGCUCCGACGCUUGUGUGGCUUAGUUGCUUAAGUGUCUGCCUUUGGCUCAGGUCAUGAUCCCUGGGUCCUGGGAUCGAGCCACCAUAGGGCUCCUGCUCUGGGGGAGUCUGCUUCUGUCUCCCUCUGCCUACCUCUACCCCUACUUGCUUGCUCACUCUCUGUCAAAUAAGAAAAAUUGAAAAAAUAAGUCAAUCGGAGAAGGACAAACAUUAUAUGGUCUCAUUCAUUUGGGGAAUAUCAAAAAAGGUGGAAGGGAAUAAAAGGGGAAAGGAGAGAAAAUGAGUGGGAAAUAUCAGAAAGGGAGACAGAACAUGAAAGACUCCUAACUCUGGGGAAUGAACUAGGGGUGGUGGAAGGGGAGGUGGUGGGGGUGGGGGUGACUGGGUGACGGGCACUGAGGUGGGCACUUGACGGGAUGAGCACUGGGUGUUAUUCUGUAUUUGGCAAAUUGAACACCAAUAAAAAGUAAAUUUAUAAUAAAAAAGAAAAGGUAUAAAAAAAUGAAAAAAUAUAGCAUUUCUAAAAGGUGUGUAGCACCAUCUCACUGUUGUUCACAUUGGGAACUUCCUAAUGCUGGAGGAUGUAGAGCGUACUUUUGUAGGGUUGCUUAUUAUCUGUGUAUCAUCUUUGUCCCAGGUGUCUGCUCAGAUAUUCACCCAUUGUUAACUAAGUUAUCUGUGUUCUUACUGUUAUGAGGUUUUGUGUAGAUUGAAUAAAAAGUAAAGAAUUUGAAUAUCAGAUGUGUGUUUUGAACACAUAUUUUCAAAUAUUUGAACAAAUAUUCAGUUUGUGAGUGGUCUCUAGGUUCCCUGGGCAAUGUCUUUCACAGAGUAGCAGUUUUAAAUUUGUAAAGUUCACAUUAUGUUUUUUUCUUUUCUGGAUCGUCUUUGGUGUUGUGUGUUAAAACGCACCACCACACUCAAGGUCUCAUAGAUUUUAUGUCGUCUUUUUGCUGUUUUGAUAGCUGUGUGUUUUAAGUUUACAUACAAUGUUGAGUGACAUUUGGUGGAAGUUGUAAAAGUUUUGCCCACAUUUCAUUUCAUAUCCUAUGGGUUCCAAUUCGUUGUUCCUUAAGUAAUUCUGGA
rnacentral:lncRNA from 1 species